ensembl:lncRNA
UAGUCUUGACAACAUAUUUCUCAAGUUAUCACGCAUUACUGAAAAAGUGAAGAAGGGACACUAUAUUUGUUAUCUAUUUUCAUGUUGUGCGUAUAAUAAUUUACUUGAAAAGAGACACGUUCAUUGUGUAACUGCAUCAUCUACACAAACCAUUGUGCUUGGACCCCUUAUGAUCACCUGGACUUAAACCACAUUGUUUCAGUUACCUUCUGUGUCUUUGGCCACAACGCUUCAGUGACAGGAAUGUGAAAUAGCAAACAGGGGAACAAAUAAAAGGCAUGACUUUAUUUGCAUCCAGCUAGCCAACUCUAUUACAGGUGUUCCACAGCCAAGACUCUUAUUAGAAUAGAAAAUAGCAAGGGUUCGAAUAAAUAGUUUAUUAAUCAUUUAAUUUCACUUUCUUAAUGAAUAUUGUUCUGUGUAUGUGAUUUCAAAGUCUUGAUGCUUCGGAUUAACCCGUUAAUUGCCGUAUCCCUUAAAACCUGAGUGCCAGAGGAUUACUGUAAAUGCAUGUGCCCGCUGGGCACAGUUUACCUGAUGCCACCGGGGUGGCGUUUGCGCUGAUGGCUUGAGCCCGCCAUCGCUGCUUGCAGCUAUAUUUAGGGCUCAAGCCUGGAGGGCGAAGAGCCCUAUUGUUUUCCUUAGGAUUAUUAGGGCUCAAGCCUGGAGGGCGAGAGCCCUAUUGUUUUCCUUAGGAUUAUUUUUUAUUAUUAUUAUUAUUAUUAUUAUUAUUAUUAUUAUUUUUUUCCAACGUCUCGGGGGCUUUUGGGGCCCUUAACAUACUCGAAAACUCUUGAAAAUUGGCACACACAUUGGAACCUGCGGCCAUUAGGGCCGGGCAGAGACUGAUACACGGGCGUGGCACAGGGGCUCUACAGCGCCCCCUGGAAUAUGGAGGGCCAUAUAUCAUACAUACUUGCACGUAGAGCGUAUGAAACUCGGUACACACAUAGAUCUCAUCAAGCCAAACAACUUUCGUACUGCAUGUCAUAGGCUCCGCCCAACAGGAAGUUGGCUAUUUAGGGUUUAGUAUUCUUAUUUUUCGUCAAAGUUGUGGGGGCUUUUGGGGCCCUUAACAUACUCAAAAACUCUUGAAAAUUUGCACACACCUUAGAAUCUGUGGCCAUUAGGAGGCUGCAGAGGCUGAGACCCGGGCGUGGCACAGGGGCUCUACGGCGC